AUUGAACGCUGGCGGCAGGCCUAACACAUGCAAGUCGAGCGGAUGAAGGGAGCUUGCUCCUGGAUUCAGCGGCGGACGGGUGAGUAAUGCCUAGGAAUCUGCCUGGUAGUGGGGGAUAACGUCCGGAAACGGGCGCUAAUACCGCAUACGUCCUGAGGCAGAAAGUGGGGGAUCUUCGGACCUCACGCUAUCAGAUGAGCCUAGGUCGGAUUAGCUAGUUGGUGGGGUAAAGGCCUACCAAGGCGACGAUCCGUAACUGGUCUGAGAGGAUGAUCAGUCACACUGGAACUGAGACACGGUCCAGACUCCUACGGGAGGCAGCAGUGGGGAAUAUUGGACAGUGGGCGAAAGCCUGAUCCAGCCAUGCCGCGUGUGUGAAGAAGGUCUUCGGAUUGUAAAGCACUUUAAGGUGGGAGGAAGGGCAGUAAGUUAAUACCUUGCUGUUUUGACGUUACCAACAGAAUAAGCACCGGCUAACUUCGUG
rnacentral:rRNA from 1 species